UCUUCCCUUAUCUUAUUUCGAAACAUUGGGGACAAUGUUCGAUUUAAGUGUGGGAGGAACAUUUAUCGUUUUCCUUUUAUUUUCAGUUUUAUUUGCUGUUUUUAGACUGUUUAUUUCCUUUUAGUUGUUUAAUUUCCCUUUCAGUUGUUUAUUUUUCUUUUUAGUAUAAUGCAUGAGUCUGACGAGUCAUCAAAUAUAGUAGAUCUUUAGUACAAUCCUACCUCCCCAUACCUUUAGCCCCACCAAAAUU
rnacentral:lncRNA from 1 species